rnacentral:rRNA from 1 species
GACGAACGCUGGCGGCGUGCUUAACACAUGCAAGUCGAACGGAAAGGCCCUGCUUUUUUGGGGUGCUCGAGUGGCGAACGGGUGAGUAACACGUGAGUAACCUGCCCUUGACUUUGGGAUAACUUCAGGAAACUGGGGCUAAUACCGGAUAGGAGCUCCUGCUGCAUGGUGGGCGUUGGAAAGUUUCGGCGGUUGGGGAUGGACUCGCGGCUUAUCAGCUUGUUGGUGGGGUAGUGGCUUACCAAGGCUUUGACGGGUAGCCGGCAUGAGAGGGUGACCGGCCACAUUGGGACUGAGAUACGGACCAGUGUCCUACGGGAGGCAGCAGUGGGGAAUAUUGCACAAUGGGCGGAAGCCUGAUGAAGAAACGCCGCGUGCGGGAUGACGGCCUUCGGGUUGUAAACCGCUUUCGCCUGUGACGAAGCGUGAGUGACGGUAAUGGGUAAAGAAGCACCGGCUAACUACGUG